rnacentral:rRNA from 1 species
UGGGCCCGCGGCCUAUCAGCUUGUUGGUGGGGUAACGGCCUACCAAGGCGACGACGGGUAGCCGGCCUGAGAGGGUGUCCGGCCACACUGGGACUGAGAUACGGCCCAGACUCCUACGGGAGGCAGCAGUGGGGAAUAUUGCACAAUGGGCGCAAGCCUGAUGCAGCGACGCCGCGUGGGGGAUGACGGCCUUCGGGUUGUAAACCUCUUUCACUAUCGACGAAGGUUCGGGUUUUCUCGGAUUGACGGUAGAUGGAGAAGAAGCACCGGCCAACUACGUGCCAGCAGCCGCGGUAAUACGUAGGGUGCGAGCGUUGUCCGGAAUUACUGGGCGUAAAGAGCUCGUAGGUGGUUUGUCGCGUUGUUCGUGAAAUCUCACGGCUUAACUGUGAGCGUGCGGGCGAUACGGGCAGACUAGAGUACUGCAGGGGAGAUUGGAAUUCCUGGUGUAGCGGUGGAAUGCGCAGAUAUCAGGAGGAACACCGGUGGCGAAGGCGGGUCUCUGGGCAGUAACUGACGCUGAGGAGCGAAAGCGUGGGGAGCGAACAGGAUUAGAUACCCUGGUAGUCCACGCCGUAAACGGUGGGUACUAGGUGUGGGUUUCCUUCCUUGGGAUCCGUGCCGUANCUAACGCAUUAAGUACCCCGCCUGGGGGAGUACGGCCGCAAGGCUAAAACUC